CGAAAGUCACUCUAUGGCUUAAAACAGUCAGGUAGAAUGUGGUAUAACCGACUGAGUGAGUUUCUUAUUCAGAAAGGGUACUCAAAUAAUGAUGAUUGCCCUUGUGUAUUUAUAAAGAAAUCCUCAAAUGGAUUUUGCGUCAUCUCAGUGUACGUUGAUGAUCUCAAUAUCAUUGGGAGUACACAUGAUAUAGAAGAAGCACGCAAUCAUUUAAUGACGGAAUUUGAGACGAAAGAUUUGGGAAAGACCAAAUUUUGCUUAGGCAUACAGCUUGAGCAUCUUCCCUCGGGAAUUUUAGUAUACCAACCUGCUUAUAUUCAAAAGGUUUUGGAAAAAUUCAAUAUGGAUAAAGCAUAUCCAACCAAAACACCCAUGGUUGUCAGAUCCCUUGAUAUGAAUAAAGAUCCUUUUAGACCUCGGGAUGAUGACGAAGAGAUAUUAGGACCUGAGUUCCCGUAUCUCAGUGCUAUUGGUGCGCUAAUGUACCUUGCAAAUUGCACCAGGCCUGAUAUUGCAUUUGCGAUAAAUUUACUAGCUAGACAUAGCGCUGCUCCAACAAAACGUCAUUGGACAGGAGUAAAGAAUAUCUUUAGAUAUUUACAUGGCACAAAAGAUCUUGGCUUAUUCUAUCAGAAAAACCAAGAUAUGACUAUGGUAGGAUAUACUGACGCUGGCUAUUUAUCUGAUCCUCACAAUGCUAGGUCACAGACAGGUUUCGUAUUCUUAUAUGGUGGAACUGCAUUUUCAUGGAAGUCACAAAAACAGACUCUCGUAGCAACUUCCACUAAUCAUUCUGAAAUAAUUGCAUUAUUUGAAGCAUCAAAGGAAUGUGUAUGGCUUCGCAGGAUGAUUAACCACAUUCAAACUUCAUGUGGUAUUGGUUUAUUAGGAUCACCAACUAUUAUUUAUGAAGAUAAUGCAGCUUGUAUUGCUCAAAUGCAAAUGGGUUAUAUUAAAAGUAAUAUCACAAAACAUAUUUCUCCUAAUUUGUUCUUCCACAUUCAUUACAGA
rnacentral:rRNA from 1 species